rnacentral:rRNA from 1 species
UACGGGGGGGGGCAAGCGUUGUUCGGAAUUACUGGGCGUAAAGGGCUCGUAGGCGGCCAACUAAGUCGGAUGUGAAAUCCCCAGGCUUAACCUGGGAACUGCAUCCGAUACUGGAUGGCUUGAAUCCGGGAGAGGGAUGCAGAAUUCCAGGUGUAGCGGUGAAAUGCGUAGAUAUCUGGAGGAAUACCGGUGGCGAAGGCGGCACUCUGGGCCGGUACUGACGCUGAGGAGCGAAAGCGUGGGGAGCGAACAGG